GGCGGCGGCGGCGGCUUAGGCGGCAGCGCUCGCCAUUGCCGCUGGUGGCAGGAGGCUGCGAGGAGCCGGCGCGGUCGCAGUCUCCACGGCGCAGGCCCACGGUAGCGCAGCCGCUCUGAGUAGAUCUUCAUGGAGGAACACGGAGUGACCCAAACUGAACACAUGGCUACCAUAGAAGCCCAUGCAGUGGCCCAGCAAGUUCAGCAGGUCCAUGUGGCUACCUACACUGAACACAGUAUGUUGAGUGCUGAUGAAGACUCACCUUCUUCUCCUGAAGACACCUCGUAUGAUGAUUCAGACAUACUCAACUCCACAGCGGCUGAUGAGGUAACAGCCCAUCUGGCUGCUGCAGGUCCUGUGGGAAUGGCUGCUGCUGCUGCUGUGGCAACAGGAAAGAAACGGAAACGGCCUCAUGUGUUUGAGUCUAAUCCGUCUAUCCGGAAGAGACAGCAAACACGUUUGCUUAGGAAACUUCGAGCCACAUUAGAUGAAUAUACUACUCGAGUAGGACAGCAAGCUAUUGUCCUUUGUAUCUCACCCUCCAAACCCAACCCUGUCUUUAAAGUGUUUGGUGCAGCACCUUUGGAGAAUGUGGUCCGUAAGUACAAGAGCAUGAUCCUGGAAGACCUGGAGUCUGCCCUGGCAGAGCACGCCCCUGCGCCACAGGAGGUUAACUCAGAGCUGCCGCCUCUCACCAUCGAUGGAAUUCCAGUCUCUGUGGACAAAAUGACUCAGGCCCAGCUUCGGGCGUUUAUUCCAGAGAUGCUGAAGUACUCCACAGGUCGGGGAAAACCAGGCUGGGGUAAAGAAAGCUGCAAGCCCAUCUGGUGGCCUGAAGAUAUCCCAUGGGCAAACGUUCGGAGCGAUGUCCGCACAGAAGAGCAAAAGCAGAGGGUUUCAUGGACCCAGGCACUACGGACCAUAGUUAAAAACUGUUAUAAACAGCAUGGGCGGGAGGACCUUUUGUAUGCUUUUGAAGAUCAGCAAACACAAACACAGGCCACAACCACACACAGUAUAGCCCAUCUUGUACCAUCACAGACUGUAGUCCAGACCUUUAGUAACCCUGAUGGCACUGUCUCGCUUAUCCAGGUUGGUACAGGGGCAACAGUAGCCACAUUGGCUGAUGCUUCAGAAUUGCCAACCACAGUCACUGUUGCCCAAGUGAAUUAUUCUGCUGUGGCUGAUGGAGAGGUGGAACAAAAUUGGGCCACGUUACAAGGAGGUGAGAUGACCAUCCAGACGACACAAGCAUCAGAGGCUACCCAGGCAGUGGCAUCAUUGGCAGAGGCUGCAGUGGCAGCUUCUCAGGAGAUGCAGCAGGGAGCCACAGUCACCAUGGCACUCAACAGCAACCAGUCCAGCCUGACUUCCAGCUCAAGCCUUCUGGUCAAGGGACAUGGGUCCCUUUUGCUUUAUCCUAUUCUGUGCUCCUUAACAGACCAAAAGCAGCAAGAUAAUUGUUUACAGCAAGAAGAGAUUAAAAGUAGAAGGCCAGUUAAGAAGAGGCAGUCCAGCGAAGCUGCCGCCCAUGCUGUCGCCACCCUGGCUGAGGCCACCUUGCAAGGGGGGGGACAGAUAGUCCUGUCUGGGGAAACCGCAGCAGCUGUCGGAGCACUUACUGGAGUCCAAGAUGCUAAUGGAGUAAUCACCGGUUCUACCCAAUUCUGGAAGACCCCUCGAGUGGCUGAGCCUCCAUGUCCUGAGCUCUCUGGGACACAGGAGUUGCAGCUUCCCCUUCUCUGAUAAGUCAGAACCCCUUUACGUUUGCUUUGCAUCUUCCAGAAAUAUGUUGACAUCCCUCAUUUAUAUCUUUUUUUCCUCCUUCACUAUAAUUUUUAUUUUAGAAGGAAGAGGAAUUUUAUAUGUGCAUUUAUUCUGUCUUAUUUAAUUGGAAAUCUUUUUUUUAAUGUUAUAUAAAAUUAUCAACUUUCCUUUCUUAGGGAGGACUGCCCUUUUCUGAAAUUAUUUGCUUCCUCCUUUCUUUCUGUUAAACCCUCCUUUCUAAAAUAAUAGUGAUAUUAGGAGGUAGUUGGAGGUCUUUUUUUUUUUUUUAAAGUUGACCCCAGAACGUAUUUAAAAAUUUUACUGGUCUAUGAAAUCUAAUAUCAGAAAACUAAUUACCUAGGCUUUUUUUUUUUCUCUCUUUUAAAUAAGCUGACUCUGAGGAGAGGGAUAAUGGCCAGAAGACAGGAAAGGAUUGAGGGAGAAGUUUUUUCAAGCUGAGAGAAACGAGCAUAGGCAGCCAGAGGGUUGAAGAAGUCAGUGUAGCAGAAUAUCAGAGAAAAUUAAUGGUGGCCUUUCCUGGAGAAGAAGGCAGUCAGAAGAGAUGGACUUGUUGAGAGGAGAAUUCACAUCUGAUGGGCCUGUGUAUGCUUCCUAAAGUUGAAGGACUGGUCCAGAUCCCUGUGAGCAUGUACCAGACUGUGGUAACCAGCCUCGCCCAGGGCAAUGGGCCGGUGCAGGUGGCCAUGGCCCCUGUGACCACCAGGAUAUCGGACAGCGCAG